GUUGUAUGGUUAAGUGACAAAGCGUAUACGGUGGAUGCCUUGGCAGUUAGAGGCGAUGAAGGACGUGUAAGUCUGCGAAAAGCUGUGGUGAGCCGACAAAAUGCAUUUGAGCCACAGAUGUCCGAAUGGGGAAACCCACCUGUUUACAGGUAUCGCUACAUGAAUACAUAGUGUAGCGAGGCGAACGAGGGGAACUGAAACAUCUAAGUACCCUUAGGAAAAGAAAUCAACCGAGAUUCCCCUAGUAGCGGCGAGCGAACGGGGAUUAGCCCUUAAGCAUUUUAUAAGUUAGUGGAAGCCUCUGGGAAGUGGCGCGAUACCGGGUGAUAGCCCCGUACACAAAAGCGAAUUUAAUGUGAAAUCGAGUAGGUCGGGACACGUGUUAUCCUGACUGAAUAUGGGGGGACCAUCCUCCAAGGCUAAAUACUCCUAACUGACCGAUAGUGAACCAGUACCGUGAGGGAAAGGCGAAAAGAACCCCUGUGAGGGGAGUGAAAUAGAACCUGAAACCGUAUACGUACAAGCAGUGGGAGCACCUUCGUGGUGUGACUGCGUACCUUUUGUAUAAUGGGUCAGCGACUUAUAUUUAGUAGCAAGGUUAAGCGAAUAGCGGAGCCGUAGCGAAAGCGAGUGUUAACUGCGCGUUUAGUUGCUAGGUAUAGACCCGAAACCCGGUGAUCUAGCCAUGGGCAGGUUGAAGGUUGAGUAACAUCAACUGGAGGACCGAACUCACUAACGUUGAAAAGUUAGGAGAUGACCUGUGGCUGGGGGUGAAAGGCCAAUCAAACCGGGAGAUAGCUGGUUCUCCCCGAAAUCUAUUUAGGUAGAGCCUCGGACGAAUUCCAUUGGGGGUAGAGCACUGUUAAGGCUAGGGGGUCAUCCCGACUUACCAACCCUUUGCAAACUCCGAAUACCAAUGAGAACUAUCCGGGAGACACACGGCGGGUGCUAACGUCCGUCGUGGAGAGGGAAACAACCCAGACCGCCAGCUAAGGUCCCAAAAUAUUGCUAAGUGGGAAACGAUGUGGGAAGGCACAGACAGCUAGGAGGUUGGCUUAGAAGCAGCCACCCUUUAAAGAAAGCGUAAUAGCUCACUAGUCGAGUCGGCCUGCGCGGAAGAUGUAACGGGGCUAAGCAAUAUACCGAAGCUGCGGCAGAGGACAUCACUCAAUGCUAUUUAAGCUAACAGCGACCUGCGUAAGCAGCCGCUGGUAAAGCGUUCAUCACAAGGUGGUGAAGAUAAAGAACGAAGAAGUAGCAUUCAGGAUGUCCUCUGGGUAGGGGAGCGUUGUGUAAGUGGAUGAAGGUGAAUCGAGAGGUUUGCUGGACAUAUCACAAGUGCGAAUGCUGACAUGAGUAACGAUAAUGGGGGUGAAAAACCCCCACGCCGGAAGACCAAGGUUUCCUGUCCCAUGCUAAUCAGGGCAGGGUAAGUCGGCCCCUAAGGCGAGGCAGAAAUGCGUAGUCGAUGGGAAACGGAUUAAUAUUUCCGUACUUGUAUAAUCAGUGAUGGAGGGACGGAGAAGGCUAGGCAAGCCUGGCGUUGGUAGCCCAGGUGAAAGUGCGUAGACCGAGUGUUUAGGUAAAUCCGGACACUUAAAGUCGAGACACGAGACGAGCUCCCAAGGGAGUGAAGUUGUUGAUGCCCUGCUUCCAGGAAAAGCUUCUAAACUUAUGAUUAUAUAAACCGUACCCCAAACCGACACAGGUGGUCAGGUAGAGAAUACUAAGGCGCUUGAGAGAACUCGGGUGAAGGAACUCGGCAAAAUAGUACCGUAACUUCGGGAGAAGGUACGCCCUUGUUGGUGAUAGGAUUUACUCCUUGAGCGAAUGAGGGCCGCAGUGACCAGGUGGCUGGGACUGUUUAUUAAAAACACAGCACUCUGCAAACUCGAAAGAGGACGUAUAGGGUGUGACACCUGCCCGGUGCCGGAAGGUUAAUUGAUGGGGUUAUCUUCGGAGAAGCUCUUGAUCGAAGCCCCGGUAAACGGCGGCCGUAACUAUAACGGUCCUAAGGUAGCGAAAUUCCUUGUCGGGUAAGUUCCGACCUGCACGAAUGGUGUAACCAUGGCCACGCUGUCUCCACCCGAGACUCAGUGAAAUUGAAAUCGCAGUGAAGAUGCUGUGUACCCGCACCUAGACGGAAAGACCCCGUGAACCUUUACUACAGCUUGGCACUGAACAUUGAACCUACUUGUGUAGGAUAGGUGGGAGGCUUUGAAUCGCAGACGCCAGUUUGCGUGGAGCCGACCUUGAAAUACCACCCUGGUAUGUUUGAUGUUCUAACAUAGGUCCCUUAUCGGGAUUGUGGACAGUGUCUGGUGGGUAGUUUGACUGGGGCGGUCUCCUCCCAAAUAGUAACGGAGGAGCACGAAGGUUAGCUAAUCACGGUCGGACAUCGUGAGGUUAGUGCAAUGGCAUAAGCUAGCUUAACUGCGAGACAGACACGUCGAGCAGGUACGAAAGUAGGUCAUAGUGAUCCGGUGGUUCUGUAUGGAAGGGCCAUCGCUCAACGGAUAAAAGGUACUCCGGGGAUAACAGGCUGAUACCGCCCAAGAGUUCAUAUCGACGGCGGUGUUUGGCACCUCGAUGUCGGCUCAUCACAUCCUGGGGCUGAAGUCGGUCCCAAGGGUAUGGCUGUUCGCCAUUUAAAGUGGUACGCGAGCUGGGUUUAGAACGUCGUGAGACAGUUCGGUCCCUAUCUGGUGUGGGCGUUGGAUGAUUGAGGGGAGCUGCUCCUAGUACGAGAGGACCGGAGUGGACGAACCGCUGGUGUUCGGGUUGUUAUGCCAAUAGCAUUGCCCGGUAGCUACGUUCGGAACGGAUAACCGCUGAAAGCAUCUAAGCGGGAAGCCGAACCCAAGAUGAGUCAUCCCUGACUUUUAAAGUCCGGAAGGGUUGUUGUAGACUACAACGUUGAUAGGCAGGGUGUGGAAGCGUUGUAAGGCGUUAAGCUAACCUGUACUAAUUGCCCGAGAGGCUUAACCAUACAACCCUAAGC
rnacentral:rRNA from 1 species